AGAUAUGUGGCUCAGUGGUACAGUGCUUACCUUGUAUGUGAUAGACCUUGGGUUCAAUCCCCAGCACUG
rnacentral:tRNA from 1 species